UACGUAGGGUGCGAGCGUUAAUCGGAAUUACUGGGCGUAAAGCGUGCGCAGGCUGUUUUGUAAGUCAGAUGUGAAAUCCCCGAGCUCAACUUGGGAACUGCGUUUGAAACUACAAGACUAGAAUAUGUCAGAGGGGGGGUAGAAUUCCACGUGUAGCAGUGAAAUGCGUAGAGAUGUGGAGGAAUACCAAUGGCGAAGGCAGCCCCCCUGGGAUAAUAUUGACGCUCAUGCACGAAAGCGUGGG
rnacentral:rRNA from 1 species